rnacentral:rRNA from 1 species
AGUGAACGCUGGCGGUAGGCCUAACACAUGCAAGUCGAACGGCAGCACAGUAAGAGCUUGCUCUUACGGGUGGCGAGUGGCGGACGGGUGAGGAAUACAUCGGAAUCUACUUUUUCGUGGGGGAUAACGUAGGGAAACUUACGCUAAUACCGCAUACGACCUACGGGUGAAAGCGGGGGAUCUUCGGACCUUGCGCGAUUGAAUGAGCCGAUGUCGGAUUAGCUAGUUGGCGGGGUAAAGGCCCACCAAGGCGACGAUCCGUAGCUGGUCUGAGAGGAUGAUCAGCCACACUGGAGCUGAGACGCGGUCCAGACUCCUACGGGAGGCAGCAGUGGGGAAUAUUGGACAAUGGGCGCAAGCCUGAUCCAGCCAUACCGCGUGUGUGAAGAAGGCCUUCGGUUUGUAAAGCCCUUUUGUUGGGAAAGAAAAGCAGCAGGUUAAUACCCCGCUGUUCUGACGGUACCCAAAGAAUAAGCACCGGCUAACUUCGUG